rnacentral:rRNA from 1 species
GACGAACGCUGGCGGCGUGCCUAAUACAUGCAAGUAGAACGCUGAAGGAGGACCUUGCUUCUCUGGACGAGUUGCGAACGGGUGAGUAACGCGUAGGUAACCUGCCCGUUAGUGGGGGAUAACUUUUGGAAACUAGAGCUAAUACCGCAUAAGAGCACCUGCUGCAUGACAUUUGCUGAAAAGUUUCAAUUGCAUGACUACCAGUUGGACCUGCGUUGGAUUUGCUUGUUGGAGAGGCAACGGCACACCUAGGCGACGAUCCGUAGCACACCUGAGACGGGGGGCAGCCAGACUGGGAGUGAGACAGGGCACAGUGUGACACGGGAGGCAGCCAGACGGAAUCGGGGGGAAUGGGUGGGAGACAUAGCGAACAGCGCCGCGUGAGUGAGCAAGGUUUUCGGGUCGUAAAGCUCUGUUGUCGGGGAAGAACGAGUGUUCGAGUGGAAAGUUGACACUGUGACGGUAACGUACAAGAAAGCGACGGCUAACUACGUG